AUGUCUGGAUACUUGUUAGAACUAUAUUUACAUGAUGUGGUGAAGAGGUGCUGGUUGAUAAAGGCUGAACACACAAGUUGCUUGCUGUUGCCGUUGAUAUUGUUUGUGCUGUAUCCCUUAAUGAUGAUGAUGCUGGUGAUGGAGAUGAUGAUGGUGAUGCUGGUGGGGGUUGAUGAUGGUGGUGAUCAUUUUGCUGCGUGCACUCUUGUUAUGCUGACAAGAUUUGAAAAAAUUGGUUUCUUAGUUGAGUCUCUGCUCAUGAUUUAUGUUAUGCAACCACAACAUAUCUUUACAAAAGUGUGGUAG
rnacentral:rRNA from 1 species